rnacentral:pre_miRNA from 10 species
GAUCCUCCUCAUGGCCGACUCCAACCCAGUUCAAGUAAUCCAGGAUAGGCUGUGUUGUCCUGGUUGGCCUAUUCACGAUUACUUGCCCCUGGGUGAGAGUCCUGGAUCAGCGAGGGACCACCAAGAAGAG